UACGAAGGGGGCUAGCGUUGCUCGGAAUCACUGGGCGUAAAGCGCACGUAGGCGGAUUGUUAAGUCAGGGGUGAAAUCCUGGAGCUCAACUCCAGAACUGCCUUUGAUACUGGCGAUCUUGAGUUCGGGAGAGGUGAGUGGAACUGCGAGUGUAGAGGUGAAAUUCGUAGAUAUUCGGAAGAACACCAGUGGCGAAGGCGGCUCGCUGGACAGGUAUUGACGCUGAGGUGCGAAAGCGUGGGGAGCGAACAGG
rnacentral:rRNA from 1 species